rnacentral:lncRNA from 1 species
GGUGAUUGUAGAACAAGACAUUUAUUGCUGUGACAUAUAUUUUUUGCUUCUGUGGGCUGAGGUUCUGCAGUACCAAUCAAAUAUAGUUGUUUCAAAUAAGGUUCGCAGUUCAGUUACUGGACCUAUGCUGGUCCAUGGCUAGACCAGUACGGCCUCCGAUCCGUUCUGGCAUACCAUGUGUCAGUAUGUCAGAAUGUACCACAAACUGAUUGAGGGAGGAAGAGGAGGGGAGGAAGAAGGAAGAGAAAGCAAAGGAAGAAGAAAGCAGAAGAAGAAGAGGGAGGAAGAGGAGGGGAGGAAGAAGGUAGAGAAAGCAGAGGAAGAAAGAAGUAGAAGAAGAAGAGGGAGGAGGAGGAGGAGGAGGAGGAGGGGAGGAAGAAGGAAACAGAAGAAGAAGAGGGAGGAGGAGAAGAGGAGGAAGCAUACCCAAAAUCAUGUCGGCGGUGCAUGGUGGGUGGUGGAGGAAGAGGGAGUUGCGAGCCCUAAUUAUGGCUUCUUUCUCUUUGAACAAUUCUUUUUUGGUUAAUUGACCAGAUCAGACGGUCCGAAAUGGGGGCUGUCCGUGUCUCAGUUUGGGCUCAAACUUGUAAAUUUUGCCUGGUAUAAACCAAACCGGGUGAAAUUGCCACCACUGAUUUUAAAUGGACUUAUGGUUGUUGUCGGUUGUUCACUCUAGCUUCCACUAGUUUUUUUACAGGUUGGCUGGGUUGAUUUGGGCCCAUGAUAAAGUUGAUGUAACUAUUUAUUUGUUGGCUACAUAUUGCAGGAGAGUAAGGGAAAAUAGAUGGAAUGGUGGAGGUUGGUUUCUAAAGGACUGCACCAAGAAGGCUGUAGCAUGAAUAGAAAAUAUGAG